UUUACGUCAUAUUUCCAUACUUUGACGUCUAUAACGGCACUGCUACAAUUUGUCAUUGCGAAAUCUGUGCAGAGUUCGCUUGGUCUGACUCUAUAAGUAAAUGGUCUUUAUAGUUAUGUAAUUAAGACACAAACAAAUUAAAAUUAGAUCUUAUUCUAAUGGACUUAAGGAAACCCUAAAUUGUCAGGUACCAAGAUAUAUUAUAGCAAAUAUCGAAAUGCAUUUUACAGUACAUCUGGUGCUACAUUACGACACCAGGUGCUAUAAUAAGCACAUUACGUAACUACGUCGAAAAUUGAAAGGGCCAUAUGUACUGUAAAACGAUGUACGGUCAGCCAAGAAAGUGGUUUACCACUUUUCGACUCUAUUAUCUGAUUGAUAGAGUCGAAAAGUGGUAAACCACUUUCUUGGCUGACUGUACGAUACGUGCGAAUAGGUAAUUCGCAACUCGUGUCGAUUUAAAACACGACCGAAGGGAGUGCUUUUAAAAUGUAUCGUAAAUAACUCUUCUCGACCUGAUACCAUACAUAAUUUGUAUGGGAGCGGCACAAUGGCCAGCUAAUUGUGUGCAUUGUACAAUAACAAAUACAUAUGAUUAGAAUACUUGACUUAUAGUAUUUUAGGUUGUAGCUAAAUGAAAUUUUAGAGUAAGCAAUAAAUAUUAGGUGGCUGAGCUAAGGGAUUAUGAUUAAUAAUUACUUAAAGUCCUUUCAGCUCAGUGCCCUAAAAUUAUAGUAGACAAAUAGAAAAUUACUCCUCUACAAAAUAUUGAAAUGGAAUUGAAAAUAUUAAACACAAAUCUAUAUAACUACUUAAACAUUAAGUAUUACUAACACUAUUUAACUGAAGCGGUCAACCGUUUCAGUUAAAAAGUGCAUUUUAAAUUAAUGUAAAUGAAAUAUAUGUAUAUAUAAAAACAUAUAGAAAAAUAAUAAACAAAGAAUGACAAAGGCAUACAUUGUCCGCGGUUGAAUUUGAACUAAGAUUAGUUUUUUUUCGCGCCGUAACUUUCUAAAUACAACGUGCGAGAUAUAUAUUUUUUUAAUGUUACUGUAUUUAUAUUCAUGUGAUUUCAAUCUCUACAUCCUCUUUGCAUCUUUAAUUGCACCAAUAAAUAAGAUUCACUAAGGGUCAGUUGCACCAAACCAUAUGUCACCGUAAAAACGUUGGCGAAAUUGUUGUAUGAGAAGUUAGUUCACGGCUAAUUAAUGUUGAUCAGUACGUCAAGUGUGGUUGAUGCAACCGGACCUAUGAAUAUCAUAAUCAGUAAGUUAAGAGUAACAGACGAAUGAUGAAUACGUAUAGGGUUGCCAUAUGGAAGAAUUAAAUGUCCUGAUAAAAAUCCGGACAUCACCCUAAAAAUCCGGACAUUUCUUGUAGCAGAGAUUUGGCGUAGCUUGAACGACGCCCAUGCGGCGCGCUGCUCUCUGUGGUGUACUGUAUCGUGGAUAUACUUUUCCCUUUCCCUUCGCCCGAUCCCGUAGCCCCCUCCCCGGGCGCGCAUUUUAUUUUUAUAAGGCCAUUCCUAAAAAUCCGGACACAUGCCAAGUCCGGUCACAAUCUGGACAAAUGGUCAAAAAUCCGGACGUAUGGCAACCCUAAAUACGCAUGAAUUACUCGCAUAUUUCCGCGCUGUUUGAAUGGAAAUUGUUAAAUGAGGUCACCACAAAGGUUGUUAUUACUACUUAUUACAUUAUCCAAUUAGAAUAUAAUGUCACAAAAGCGUGACAAAACUUUCGACCUUUCGGAAAGUGUUUAGCAAAAUGAUUCUUAUUACAAAUAACUAAGGCAAAUAUUCGCAUGCAUGUUUACAGUGUGGAAUAGAAUUCUGCCGUGAGCCUUAUCAACAGGGCUCUUAUAUCGUUAAAUAAAAGUGCGAUUACAUUUUAUGCGAAACUUGUAAACCCGCGCGAUAGGAAAUGUACCGUUUCGUCAUUUUACCAUAUUUUUUGAAAUGUUGAAACAUGAAGUAUCAAAACAGACGUAAAUUAGAGAUUGAGAUGAUUAUUUUUUUAGAAAUUCAUCGAAAAUUUCCUUACCGAGGUAAAAUGAUAAUUAUGAUGUAUGUAUAAAUAUGAAUUUAUGUAAUUAUAUAAUUAUUUAGACAGAUAUUGGAGGUGGAGCUCAAUCUAACUUAAUUCAAUUUUAGAUCUUAUUAAAUCAAUAAAUUUUAAAUGAUUAGCUUAAUUUAUAGUUUAUAAGUUUAUUUUGCAAUACACGAAUAUAAGUUUCAUAGAUAAAAAAUAAGAGAAGAAUAUUUUUAAACAAUAUCAGAUUGUAUAACAAAAGAAAAAAACAAAUAAAGAGUGAUAUUAUCUGUGCCAAUUGUUAAUGGCCGUUGGUAGCUUCUAAAUUUGAAUUUUAAAAAGUAAUUAAGUAGAUAAAUAGAUUAGACAAUGCAUAUAUCGCUCAGUUUCAGUAUUUAUAAGAAAAAUGGGGUACAAAAAUCGUGUAAAGAGUGUACGGAUAAAACAUAAUGGAGAAAAUUAUCACUAUUUUAGGUCUAUCCAUAAAACUGCAAAUAUUAAGUAUAUAAAAUCUAAGGCCGUUCCGAUAUUUUCAACUUCAGCCUUUAGCUUUGAUUUCUGUUGAAAUUUAUAUGUAGAUAUUAACUUCGACCUUGUACCCAUGCGAUAAGGUUUACGUUACAUAGUUCACUGUGUAUAGUUCGUACUAUUUUAUUUCUGUAUUCUGUUUUAUCCAAAGCGUUGUUAGUUUGGAGUAAAAAUGGUAUAUUUUUAACCAUUGCUGCUUUAACAACCGAAUCAACUGAUAUUAAAAUGGGCAACUUUAAGCCCCCCCCCCCCCCCCACAUCCAGCGUCUUUCGAGCGUCCGCGUCUACAACUCUAUGGCCGCUGCUCGACGCAACGUCGACACAACUGCGCAGCGACGUCAUUUUCCAAAGCGCUGACCAGACGCUGACGCUCGAAAGACGCUAGAUGUGGGGGGGGCCUCAGAACAGUGAUAUGUUGUCCAACCUAGCAACGCUUAGUCAGUUUUGCCUACCCUAUGAUCCAUAAAAGUUAGAUAUCUACUAGUUUUGUUAAGUGAGGAAUAACUUAAAAAGUCUUAUGUUCUCCUCAAAUCUAAUUUGAAAAUAAUCUUUAAAGCUUAAUCAAUAGAAUCGAAUUUCGGUUAAAAAUUGAUUGAUUUUUAACUUUACAGGAAUGUAAAAUGCAAAUUUUAGGCAAAACUGAAUGAUUACGUGUGGCGUAAGGAGAGUAUCUCAAUAUUUGAGGAUGUACAUUCAAACUAAUCAAAGAUAUCGAAUUGCCAAUAUUUUAUAUAUACAAUAUAAAAAUAUAACAUUUGUAAAUAGCCAUGAAGUUUAAUAAAUAUCUAGAAGUAAUAAGAAA